AGAGUUUGAUUCUGGCUCAGGAUGAACGCUGGCGGCGUGCUUAACACAUGCAAGUCGAACGAGGUCCAACCUUCGGGUGAAGACCGAGUGGCGAACGGGUGAGUAACACGUGGGGAACCUGCCCUUCUCUCUGGGAUAACCUCGGGAAACCGAAGCUAAUACCGGAUACUCCUUGCGGACCGCAUGGUCUGCUCGGGAAAGCUCCGGCGGAGAAGGAUGGCCCCGCGGCCCAUUAGCUUGUUGGUGGGGUAACGGCCCACCAAGGCGACGAUGGGUAGCCGAGCUGAGAGGCUGAUCGGCCACACUGGGACUGAGACACGGCCCAGACUCCUACGGGAGGCAGCAGUGGGGAAUCUUGCGCAAUGGGCGAAAGCCUGACGCAGCAACGCCGCGUGCGGGAUGAAGGCUCUCGGGUCGUAAACCGCUUUCAGCAGGGAUGAAAAUGACAGUACCUGCAGAAGAAGCCCCGGCUAAAUACGUGCCAGCAGCCGCGGUAAUACGUAUGGGGCAAGCGUUAUCCGGAUUCAUUGGGCGUAAAGCGCGCGUAGGCGGCUUGUUAAGUCAGGCGUGAAAUCCGGGGGCUCAACCCGCGGCUUGCGUCUGAAACUGGCAGGCUUGAGUCUGGUAGAGGAAAGUGGAAUUCCUGGUGUAGCGGUGAAAUGCGCAGAUAUCAGGAGGAACACCAGUGGCGAAAGCGGCUUUCUGGGCCACGACUGACGCUGAGGCGCGAAAGCUAGGGGAGCGAACAGGAUUAGAUACCCUGGUAGUC
rnacentral:rRNA from 1 species